GGAAAGUACAUAGUCGUAACAAGGUCUCCGUUGGUGAACCAGCGGAGGGAUCAUUACUGAGUACUACACUCUCUACCCUUUGUGAACUAUUAUACCUGUUGCUUCGGCGGCGCCCGCGAGGGUGCCCGCCGGUCUCAUCAGAAUCUCUGUUUUCGAACCCGACGAUACUUCUGAGUGUUCUUAGCGAACUGUCAAAACUUUUAACAACGGAUCUCUUGGCUCCAGCAUCGAUGAAGAACGCAGCGAAACGCGAUAUGUAAUGUGAAUUGCAGAAUUCAGUGAAUCAUCGAAUCUUUGAACGCACAUGGCGCCUUCCAGUAUCCUGGGAGGCAUGCCUGUCCGAGCGUCGUUUCAACCCUCGAGCCCCCGUGGCCCGGCGUUGGGGAUCUGCCACGGCAGGCCCCUAAAACCAGUGGCGGACCCGAAGGCCCUCUCCUUUGCGCAGUAGCAUCAGCCUCGCAUUGGGAUCCCUCGGCGUCCUGCCUCUAAACCCCCCACAAGUCCGCUCCGGCGGCACCAAGGUUGACCUCGGAUCAGGGUAGAAUUGCCCGCAAAUUUA
rnacentral:rRNA from 1 species